AACCAGGUUGCCAAGUGAAGCAAAGCAAACAAUAUUGUGCACAGUUUGAUGCAUCGACUGUAAGAAAACUAGUUCUGGAAAUGGAUCUGUUGAUACACUGGCAUGGAAGAGAAUGUGCCACAGAUUUGAAUUCUCCUUUGAAUUAGAGAGAGUUCAAAGGUUGACGAGCGAUAACUUACAGAUUCUAGUGGAGACAGAUCUGGGAAGAAUCCCUGUUUAUUAACGGAACAUGUGGGAAGCGUGUCACUUCGCUAAUAGCUGCUCAAAAGUAACAAGACGGAAUUCUGCUAUGGGAGUGAAUGCAGCCGAAAACGGCGAAACAACUUCUCGAGGCCCGCGGCUGCCGCCAUCGCGGAUAUACGAGAUCCGCAAGAGGGCCGAGCUCUGGACCGCGCCUCCGAGUUGGACCGUGCCUCCAGCCUCGCCACCGUCAUCGCCGACGAGCAGCUCGAAGCUCCACCCGAUCGCUCUCAGCGACCCGGCGGCUGCGACAUGUGCAACGUCCCGGACGGUUCUUCCCUACGGGCAUCGCCCGAGCACCGGAGCAGGACGCAGGAUAGGAUAGGAUGGGGAGGAGGAUGUGGUGGUCAAGAAGGAAACAUCGAGUGGUGGAGAGAGUCAUAGUUCGUCGUCGUCGACCGAGGCUAUAGAUGUGGAAGAGAAAGAAUCCGGGUGCAGCGAGUGAUCAAAUUGAUCAACAUUCGACCCUUACCUCAAAGAGUUGAAAAUCUUGGCAAAACCCUAAUCGUCAAGAUUAUUACGCAAGGGAAGAUUGGACGAUUUCUGGACGGGAUCAUGUCACCAUGGAUGCCUGCCGAAGGAUGGACAGCUACUCUGACGGGGCGAGGCGCGGAGGCAAAGAGUUCCAGAUCGAUUUGGCCGGAAUAAAGUGACGAAGCGACGGCUAAUUUCCAAGGACUUGAAGAUGGAAGAUGGAGAAGCUGGUUGUAUAGCAAAUGUAGUACAAGAAACCAUAGAAAUGGCAUCAGCCAACGAUUUGGGGAUUCAUUUAGUUUGAAUGUUGACGUCUGGCAAGGGAGAAAUGGUUAAGAUCGGUCAAUGGAAGAUGCAGCAGUACCAAUAGCACGUCCGAAACAGAGAGGAUGACACUGCGACUUACCAGAGGCUAGUUCAACAGGGAGGGUAACCAUGGCAGGAAAAGUUCCAUGCAGAGUGGAGAUAAUGGUUACAAAAGAAAUGCUGAGAGGUCUAAGCACCGAAGACAACCUGAUUUUGAUCGGAAUUUUUGGUUGGAAUCUUGAAUUCCGAGGUCCAAUGAUAACAACAAGCCAUAAUUCUUAGCUAUUUGGGAUCGGCUCAAUGGAUCUUUAUCCAAUAUUGAAUUCCAAGGAAGAACUUUCCAAGUACACUGUGAUGGUGAUUCUAACUCAAAAGUCAAUUAACCAGGAACAGUACCCCCGGAAGCAUCACAAUCAGAGGCAUGUAAGUGAAAGAAAAAAGCAAGCAUAUGCGGAUGUGAAUCCGAAGCCACUGCUGGAAGACGUCUGAUUUCUCUUGCAGAAUGAUCACCUUGGAUGAGAAGAACCAAGUGAGGCAGCGGGAGGAGAUGGAAUGCAGCGGGAGUGUGGCGUUAUUUAUAGUGCCCAGGAGCAGAAAAAGGUGAGACAUCUUCUCUCUCUCUCUCUCUCCCUCUCUCUGCACUCACAGGAUUCAUGCAUGUGGCGACGUAAGCAAGCAGGGAGGGAGGUGAAGGCGGCCGAGAGGGGGAGGAGGAGGCAGAGGGUGGCGUCACGUGAUAUCUGGGGAUGGCUCACCGGGAAGGCAUCAUGCGAGAUGAUGAUGAUGAUGGCCCCAGAGAUUCGCAAUGAUGGCGUCCCCUUCCUCCCUCCUCCCCCACCCCUCCCAUCAUCAUCAUCACCGACCCCUUCCCCCUUCCCCGCCAUCGAUGCGCUUUUGUUUUUUUCCCCAUGAUCGCAUCGAUGCCUCCUCUUGUUUCAUUCACCACCUUCCCCUCACCUGCCUUCGUUUCUUCCCUCCUUCGAGAUACUAACAUUCACCACCUUCUCAUUGGUUUGUGCUCUCGUUGCAGGCGUGAAUCUGGCAAUGCUAAUAGGAUGAGAGCAUGAGGAGGAACUCCCUCUAGAUUUACCAGGACAACUCGGAAUGGAAACUGCAAAACUGCGUGUCACAGAACUGCGUGCGUCCCACUUGGCGUGAUAGAAUGAGGCUGUGGAAGGAGGAACACGAUCUUAUCAUGCAAAAGGUUAGAGUAUUCAAUUCCUGCCCGCGUUAAUUUUCUUGGAUCGAGCCCACCGCGUUAAAUACAUGAUGAUGGCAAACUGGAAAAGAAGUCAUCUGGAAGCUGGGUGUGACUGUAGAACAGAUCUUUGUACCAAUUAAGUCCGAGUUGAAUGAAGGUGGAGGGAGCAGAGUCACAUGGACCUUAUCACCGGCGGUAGCUCCUUUUGUACCGUGUGGUCUGCACCUCAACAAACUGACGGCUUACCUGUUUGUAAAAGCUGUAAGUCCUUUGCCACCCAAAUCUACGAGAUCUGCGAGCGACCACAAAAGAAAACUAGGUGCCAAGUUCUACAUCCAAGGAGGAAGAGGAGGUCAAAUAGUUGGCGAUUAUCCAACUUAAACCGGCUUGUCAUAUUUGAAUUAAGUCACCAUAUACAUAAAAUAAAAUAAACUCAAAUUCGGCCAUCAGAAAAACUGCUUGUUAGGGAAUACAUACAACUCAAUCAUAAAUGUGUGCGAACACUGUUGACUUACAAUUGCUUAGGAGAGGCCCAACUAUUUGACAAGGGGGAGUAGGUAUGCCAAGUGACAAUUUAGUGAAAUCAUAUUAAUCUCCAUCUUGAUUACAAUAAAUUUAGACUUGACAUAGAAGUAGGUUGAUCUGAUCUGAGAUCGAGAGCUAUGCUGGAGUUAGAUCCCUGAGAUUGUCCUAAACCAUGUGAGCUCUCGAUCACCCGAAUAGAUGCCCUCAAUCUUUGAUUCUCGUACAAGAUGGUUGUGGAGUGGAAUGAUCGAGAGUUCAAAGAGAAGAGAGAGAAAAAAAACUCAACUAUUUAUAGUUUGAAAGAACAAUUUUACCCUUAUUAGUGCCUAAGAUUUUACAAGAGAUGAACAUUAAAUCAGAAUUUAUAUUUACUUUUAGUGUGGACAAGUAGCUGCCUAAGAUAAUCUACCUGUUAAGCUUAUAUUUAAAGCAAUAAAUAUAAAAAAUUGUUAGAAACUAUAAAAGGAAAGCACAAAUCUUGAACCC